GCCGCUCUCGCGAGAGCUGCCGGGCUGCUCUGUUGACUCGGGGUUGCCUGCUUGAAGGAGCCGACCGAAACCGCGCUGUACCUCGCGGUCAGUCGCUGCGGUUGUGGCCGGGACAGCUCCGAAACAGCGAACCUAGGUGAUCAAAGGCUUCUUCCAGGGUCUGGACCAGUAGGGGAAAAAUUUGAUGAAGCUGAAGUUGAGUCAUGGGGGUGGAACUGCUACAGCUGCGUUGAAGAGCAGAAGACCUACAACUGAAAAGAGAAUGCUGCUAGGACUACUAAUUAAAUGCCCAUAAACUCAGCAAUUUGUGAUAGUCAAAUUAACACAAUCCACUUAGCAUUUCUUCUCUUAGAAUUAUUCAAAUCCAUUUUCAUUUUUAGUCGUAAGUCUAAAACUGAGAAAAUUAUCUCCCCUUGAAUGCAGACCACUAUAAAAGAAAAUUGAGUAACAAGUUUUAGCUUAAAAUGAGAGAGACAAUGGGAAAAGCAGUCCUAUGCUGUUGAUGUCCAUUCUACCAGUAAAAUACAGAUUAAUAGUUUCUUUGUGCAAUAAAAAUGGAAAUAAGAAAGA